CUCUCCCUGAACUUUCUCUGUAGACCAGGCUAGCCUCAAACUUAGAGAUCUACAGCCUCUGCCUCCCAAGUGCUGGGAUUAAAGGCCUAUGACACAAUACCCAGCUGAGAUGGGGUCUUGUGUAGCCCAGGUAUCCUCAAAAUAUGUUAGACAGGGAUAAAUUUGAAUUCCUGAUCCUCCUGCCUCCUCCUCCUCCUCCUGAGUGCCAAAAUUACUGACAUGAGCAAGGAUGUUCUGUGCGUCCUGUGUUAUGGCUGGCUGAGAAGCAUCCACCAUGUGACUAGGCUGUGUUUCAUCUGCAUCCACCCAUGUUGGCCACUUGGCCUGCUUCUCCCUUGUGGCUAUCUUAAAAGUACUUCCAGAAUGGGAGGGGGUGGGCGCCGGUGGCUUCGGGCAACUUUCAGUUCUCAGGGUGAGUACACAUACAUGAGAUUGCUGGGCCAGGUGGACUCUCUUGUUUGUUUUUGUUUUUCUUCUUUUAGUUUUAAGGACCCAUAGUGUGUUUUCAACAGUUGUUGCACCAAUAAAUCUUACAGUUUUAAAACAGCAGCCUGCCACUGGGUACACUGGUGCACACUUUAAAUCUCAGCCCUUGGGAGGUAGAGGCAGGUGGAUCUCUUGAGUUAAGGCCAGCCUGGUCCACAGAGAAACCCUGUCUCAAACAAAAACAAACAAACCCAUCUGCCUUGUCUCUCUCGAGCAGCCUGACAUAUAAAGUGUACAUGCUAUGGGGCCCUUCCCCCCAACCCUCAUGUUCUUCCCUGUCACUGGGAGCAGGUGGGAGCGACACCCCCCUACCCCCCCCCACACACACACCCUGCCUCGCAUCUGCUCUUGGGUAUUGCCCAAGCUCUCUGCCCUCCUCUAAGACAGCUGGAGUCAGCCUGGCCUCUGCCUCAGGCAAGUUCAUAGCUGAGUUUGCAACACUUCCUAGGUUUCAUAAGACUCUCAGCUCCCUUGGGAGCCACUGUCCUUCUGCUCCUACAAGCAAGCAUUCCUUUCAUUUCAUCACAGAUGCCUGUGUGAGUGACCUGUGUGAGCCUAACUUUGCCUCAGGUGCUGAGGACACAGAAAAGUGGACAGAACCACUUCCUUCUACACGAACCCCCAUAGGACCAAGUCACCACGGUCAAGCAUUUUAAAGUCUGACAGGCCCCCUACGUGCCCCUCAAGGGGCGUCUGGACCGCAACAUCAAGAGAAGGCAAGGGACAGAUCAAACACUCCUGUGAGCUUUGAGGAAGGGGUGGCCACACUUUCCUGCAGGUCAGCUCUCACCAUUGUUAAGACAGAUGGAAGCCUCCUCUGUCCCCAUGUCACCACGUCUAAGGGCCACCUUGCUUCCUUUUAUGCCUCAGAAUUCUUUGUUGUGGUACUGAAUAAAUAAACCCAUCUCCUUGGAAU
rnacentral:lncRNA from 1 species